GGUAGAAUUAGUUCAAUUGGCAGAAUGACGUUUUGUGGCAACGAUGAAAAGAGUUCGAGUCUCUUAUUCUACC
rnacentral:tRNA from 1 species